rnacentral:rRNA from 1 species
UUGACCUCAAAUCGGGUGAGACUACCCGCUGAACUUAAGCAUAUCAAUAAGCGGAGGAAAAGAAACUAACAAGGAUUCCCCUAGUAACUGCGAGUGAAGCGGGAAAAGCUCAAAUUUAAAAUCUGGUGGCUUUUCUGCCAUCCGAGUUGUAAUUUAGAGAAGCGUCUAUCCGCG